rnacentral:rRNA from 1 species
GACGAACGCUGGCGGCGUGCUUAACACAUGCAAGUCGAACGGAAAGACCCUGCUUUUGUGGGGUGCUCGAGUGGCGAACGGGUGAGUAACACGUGAGUAACCUGCCCUUGACUUUGGGAUAACUUCAGGAAACUGGGGCUAAUACCGGAUAGGAGCUCCUGCUGCGUGGUGGGGGUUGGAAAGUUUCGGCGGUUGGGGAUGGACUCGCGGCUUAUCAGCUUGUUGGUGGGGUAGUGGCUUACCAAGGCUUUGACGGGUAGCCGGCCUGAGAGGGUGACCGGCCACAUUGGGACUGAGAUACGGCCCAGACUCCUACGGGAGGCAGCAGUGGGGAAUAUUGCACAAUGGGCGGAAGCCUGAUGCAGCAACGCCGCGUGCGGGAUGACGGCCUUCGGGUUGUAAACCGCUUUCGCCUGUGACGAAGCGUGAGUGACGGUAAUGGGUAAAGAAGCACCGGCUAACUACGUG